CACUAUGGAGCCCUGACCAGGGACAAACUCAUCUUGCAGCUUCUACAGGAGUCUGCGCAGCGCCCUUCACCUCCCAGUGAGGAUGACUCCGGAGAAGCCUCCUCUCAGAACUCAGUGUCCAGCCGUGAAAAGCGAGGGGCCCCUAAGAAGCGAAAGGCACCCCAGCCUCCAGCCAGCACACCUGUUCCCGACGAUCAGGAUGCUUAUGAGGAGAUUGUAC